rnacentral:rRNA from 1 species
ACGCUCGACACCUACGGGAGGCAGCAGGUGGGGAAUAUUGCACAAUGGGGGAAACCCUGAUGCAGCGACGCCGCGUGAAGGAAGAAGUAUUUCGGUAUGUAAACUUCUAUCAGCAGGGAAGAAAAUGACGGUACCUGACUAAGAAGCCCCGGCUAACUACGUGCCAACAGCCGCGGUAAUCUGAGCGGGCUGGCAAGGC